rnacentral:lncRNA from 1 species
GCCAGCUGCCGCAUCACGAGGACAUCCACGCAACCUAUAGAGCUGCUCAGGAGGAACUGAGGCCGGCUGCCAAUAACCAGCACCAACUUGCCUGCCGUGUGAGUGAGCCAUCUGGGAAACCAAGCCUCCAGCCUCCAUGAAGCCUGCAGAGACGGGGGUCUCUCUAUGUUGCCCGAGCCAGUCUCGAACUCCUGGCCUCAAGUGAUCCAUCUGCCUCAACACCCUAAAGUGCUGGCACUAUAGGCAUGAGCCACGGCACCCAGCCACUGUAAGCCUUUUUGCUUCACCUAGCCACCAAUCUAAAUGGGGGGAAGUGUUCUCCAUUUUUUUAGAUUUUCAUAUCUGUAAGUAGACCAACCAUGACAGCUUUACGACCCAAAUACAAGGCUACAUUUGAUGUUACUAGCGAGCAAAAUAACUUCAGAUCUACAUGGGCAGUGAAAUAAAUAGUGCGCAUCUUUAAAAUUUCCCCUCUAGUUCUAAUCUUUUCAGGUUUCCCCCUCAUUACUCUGAAAUUUCUGGAAUGUGUACAUGUUGCUCUCACACCCAUUCCUGGGCUUUAAGGCAGGAACAUCAAAAAACAUCAGCAUGAGGUCACCACUUGGUCAGUGGAAAAUUUUUUUUUUUUUUCUGAGAUGGAGUUUCGCCCUGUUGCCUAGGCUGGAGUGCAGUGGCGUAAUCUCAGUUCACUGCAACCUCCACCUCCCGGGUUCAAGCAAUUCUCCUGCCUCAGCCUUCCAAGUAGCUGGGAUUACAGGAGCGUGCCAGCAUGCCCAGCUAAUUUUUUGUAUUUAGUAGAGUUGGGGUUUUGCCAUGUUGGCCAAGCUGGUCUGAAACUCCUGACCUCAUGAUCUGCCCCCCUUGGCCUCCUAAAGUGCUGAGAUUACAGGCAUGAGCCACCGCGCCCGGCGGGUCAGUGGAAAUUUUUUUAAAUGGUGGUGACACCAUCUCUGGUGCUUCCACCCUGUGGCUCCUG